rnacentral:rRNA from 1 species
AACGAACGUUGGCGGCGUGGCUUAGGCAUGCAAGUCGAACGAGAAAGUUUCCUUCGGGGAGCGAGUAUAGUGGCAAAAGGGUGAGUAAUGAUUAGUUAACCUACCCCUAAAAACUGGGAUAACCUACCCGAAAGGGGUUGCUAAUACCGGGAUGGUCUAUGAGAGAUGCAUAUCGUUUUAUAGUAAAGGCGCUCGCAAGGGUGUCGAUUAGGGAGGGGAUUAAUUCCUAUUAGCUAGUUGGUGAGGUAAUGGCUCUACCAAGGCAUUGAUGGGUAACCGAUCUGAGAGGAUGACCGGUCACACUGGGACUGAGACACUGCCCAGACUCCUACGGGGAGGCUGCAGUCGCGAAUAUUCCGCAAUGGACGCAAGUCUGACGGAGCGACGCCGCGUGUGGGAUGAAGGCCUUAGGGUUGUAAACCCACUGUCACAC